UUAAUAACUUAUAACAUGCUAGGAAAUCCUUAAUAUGGACUGGUUGCCCACUGAAGCAGGGCUGAGCCUGGUCAGUACCUGGAUGGGAGACCUCCUGGGAAAAAAAGGUUACUGUUUGAA
rnacentral:rRNA from 1 species